rnacentral:rRNA from 1 species
CCUACGGGUGGCUGCAGUGAGGAAUAUUGGUCAAUGGGCGAGAGCCUGAACCAGCCAAGUCGCGUGAGGGAGUACUGCCCUAUGGGUUGUAAACCUCUUUUGUCGGGGAGCAAAAGCCGGACGUGUCCGGCUGUGAGAGUACCCGAAGAAAAAGCAUCGGCUACGCCGGUGCCAGCAGCCGCGGUAAUACGGAGGAUGCGAGCGUUAUCCGGAUUCAUUGGGCUUAAAGGGAGCGUAGGCGGGCGUUCAAGUCAGCUGUAACAUCGCGCGGCUCAACCGCGCCCCGCAGUUGAAACUGGACGCCUUGAGUUCACAACAGGCAGGCGGAAUUCGUGGUGUAGCGGUGAAAUGCAUAGAUAUCACGAGGAACCCCGAUUGCGAAGGCAGCCUGCCGGGGUGCGACUGACGCUGAGGCUCGAAGGUGCGGGUAUCAAACAGGAUUAGAUACCCUGGUAGUC